rnacentral:tRNA from 1 species
AGGCGCGUAGCUCAGUUGGCUAGAGCACCACCUUGACAUGGUGGGGGUCGUUGGUUCGAAUCCAAUCGCGCCUACCA